rnacentral:rRNA from 1 species
UACAGAGGUCUCAAGCGUUGUUCGGAUUCAUUGGGCGUAAAGGGUGCGUAGGUGGCUCGCUAAGUCAGGUGUGAAAUUUCGGAGCUUAACUCCGAAACUGCAUUUGAUACUGGCGUGCUUGAGGACUGGAGAGGAGACUGGAAUUCACGGUGUAGCAGUGAAAUGCGUAGAUAUCGUGAGGAACACCAGUGGCGAAGGCGGCUCACUGGCCCGGAACUGACGCUGAGGUGCGAAAGCGUGGGGAGCAAACAGG